UACGAAGGUGUCAAACGUUGUCCGGAAUAACUGGGCGUAAAGGGCGCGUAGGCGGUCGCGUAAGUCAGAUGUGAAAGCUCUGGGCUCAACCCAGGAAUUGCAUUUGAUACUGCGUGACUCGAGUUCGGUAGAGGAGGGCGGAAUUCCAGAAGUAGCGGUGAAAUGCGUUGAUAUCUGGAGGAACACCCGUGGCGAAGGCGGCUCUCUGGUCCGAUACUGACGCUGAGGCGCGAAAGGUAGGGUAGCAAAC
rnacentral:rRNA from 1 species